AACGAACGCUGGCGGCAUGCCUAACACGUGCAAGUCGAACGAGACCUUCGGGUCUAGUGGCGCACGGGUGCGUAACACGUGGGAAUUUGCCUCGGGGUAUGGAAUAACUCAGGGAAACUUGAGCUAAUACCAUAUAAUGUCUUCGGACCAAAGAUUUAUCGCCCUGAGAUAAGCCCGCGUAGGAUUAGCUAGUUGGUGGGGUAAAGGCUCACCAAGGCGACGAUCCUUAGCUGGUCUGAGAGGAUGAUCAGCCACACUGGGACUGAGACACGGCCCAGACUCCUACGGGAGGCAGCAGUGGGGAAUAUUGGGACAAUGGGCGGAAAGCCCUGAUCCAGCAAUGCCGCGUGAGUGAUGAAGGCCUUCGG
rnacentral:rRNA from 1 species